AUGCGGCGGGACUACCUGGCGGCCACGGACAGCUACAUCAAGCUGGCGAUCGGCAACUCGCCGUGGCCGAUCGGGGUGACCAUGGUGGGCAUCCACGAGCGGUCGGCCCGGGAGAAGAUCCACACCAACGGUGUCGCCCACGUGAUGGACGACGAGACGACGCGGAAGUACCUGCAGCUGCAGUUCGUGAAGCGGCUCAUGACCUUCUGCCAGCGGAGGUACCCGACGGAUCCCUCGAGGUCGGUCGAGUUCAACAGCCUCGCCAACGGUAGCGACCUGCAGUCCCUCCUCGCCGAGAAGGGCGCCGAGAAGAAGCACCCAGAGGAGACGCUCCGGCUGGUGGCUGCCUCCUGA
rnacentral:rRNA from 1 species